rnacentral:rRNA from 1 species
UUUCCAGCCGCCGCGGUAAUACAGAGGGGGCCAGCGUUAUUCGGAAUUAUUGGGCGUAAAGGGCGCGUAGGCGGCCACGCGUGUCUUCCGUGAAAUCCCUCGGCUCAACCGAGGACGUGCGGAAGAAACUGCGAGGCUCGAGUCCAGAAGAGGGGGGCGGAAUUCCCAGUGUAGCGGUGAAAUGCGUAGAUAUUGGGAGGAACACCGGUGGCGAAGGCGGCCCCCUGGGCUGGUACUGACGCUGAUGCGCGAAAGCGUGGGUAGCAAACGGGAUUAGAUACCCUUGUAGUCC